AAAAACAGAGCUUCUCAAAAGCAGAUAAAUAACAAUAUAAACAAAAGAGAAGUUAGAAGCCCUCAAACACGUUUGAGUUGGAGUAGAGUAGGGCUUCUUGAACUUCGGGUCUCCUCUUGAAUGUCUGGUCGACUUGAAUGCAGGAGGAGACUUCUUUAAAUGCUGGGAAGAGGUAGCUGGAUGGAGUUAAUGGCGCUCUUCCUUCUUUUC
rnacentral:lncRNA from 1 species